rnacentral:misc_RNA from 1 species
GUUGAAGAUUACAAGUAAUCCAAUUAGGUAACAACGGAGGCAAAGCGGCACGCACAUGAGCAUGCCAGAGCAAUCAUUAAGAGAACUAAAAUAUGCUUACAGCCAAUUACCUAAAUUAACCCUUAAACUAUUUGGGAAAAGUCCAAUGCACCCUGAAUUUUUUUAUUUUGAUCCAUUACAUCAAUAAUUUUUUAUUUUUGACCUAUUGCACCAUUUAAUUUGUAAUUUUCUAACCAAUAGACAGAUUUUCAAAUUUGUCAAUAGAAAAUGAUUAAAUAUAUCACCUAAUAUAUCCCUAUUUUUUCAAUUUAUAAUGGAUUAUACUUUAUUAUUUAAUCAUUAGUGGGUAAAUUACUAUAGGGUCCCUGUAUAAUGGAAAAAUUCAUUAGUAGAUCCCUAAAAUUUAAGACCCAAUUAAAAUGUUCCUCAUUUUUGUAAAAUUCAACUAUUUGGUCCUUCUAUUAGCCUUAACAGGCGGAAAACAUUAGUCAAUAGUUAUAGCCUUGGUCAGAGGAAAGAAAAUAUAUUUCUCUUCCAAAAUUAACCCCAUUUCUAUCAUUUUGUUCCUCUGCCCCAAAAUGAAGGUCCUCCCCAAACUCACAAUGGCCCUUUCCCUCUUACUUCCACCCGUCCACCACCACCACUCCUACAGACGGCCGCCACCCCCCACCAUCACCGCAGCCACCGCCAUCUAUAACCUCUGGUUUCACUUGCCUCUACCAAACAGAACUUGGUCUCUUCUAUUACCUGGUCCCGCACCCUUCUUAGGCCAAUCUCUCCAGACCCAACAUUUUGCUACUCUUCCCCAACACAGAAACUAGAGCCUCCAUUGCUAUUUGAGAGAGACCCACAUAAAGCCUUAUUCAAUCGAAACAGAGAACCUCCACAACAUUCACCUGCAUGCCAUUGCUCGCAGUUUCCCUAUUUUCCCAGAAAUCAUCAUCUAGAUAGCCCUUCAAUCACAUAAGGCCACCCUUUUCCUCUCACAAGUUCCUUUCAGCACCGCCGUGUGAGGAAGAACCAGUUG